rnacentral:rRNA from 1 species
UUUAAUUUGCAUGCGCGGCUAUACAUGCAGUCGACGCGUUGGCCCAAUUGAUUGAUGGUGCUUGCACCUGAUUGAUUUUGGUCGCCAACGAGUGGCGGACGGGUGAGUAACACGUAGGUAACCUGCCCAGAAGCGGGGGACAACAUUUGGAAACAGAUGCUAAUACCGCAUAACAGCGUUGUUCGCAUGAACAACGCUUAAAAGAUGGCUUCUCGCUAUCACUUCUGGAUGGACCUGCGGUGCAUUAGCUUGUUGGUGGGGUAACGGCCUACCAAGGCGAUGAUGCAUAGCCGAGUUGAGAGACUGAUCGGCCACAAUGGGACUGAGACACGGCCCAUACUCCUACGGGAGGCAGCAGUAGGGAAUCUUCCACAAUGGGCGCAAGCCUGAUGGAGCAACACCGCGUGAGUGAAGAAGGGUUUCGGCUCGUAAAGCUCUGUUGUUAAAGAAGAACACGUAUGAGAGUAACUGUUCAUACGUUGACGGUAUUUAACCAGAAAGUCACGGCUAACUACGUGCCAGCAGCCGCGGUAAUACGUAGGUGGCAAGCGUUAUCCGGAUUUAUUGGGCGUAAAGAGAGUGCAGGCGGUUUUCUAAGUCUGAUGUGAAAGCCUUCGGCUUAACCGGAGAAGUGCAUCGGAAACUGGAUAACUUGAGUGCAGAAGAGGGUAGUGGAACUCCAUGUGUAGCGGUGGAAUGCGUAGAUAUAUGGAAGAACACCAGUGGCGAAGGCGGCUACCUGGUCUGCAACUGACGCUGAGACUCGAAAGCAUGGGUAGCGAACAGGAUUAGAUACCCUGGUAGUCCAUGCCGUAAACGAUGAGUGCUAGGUGUUGGAGGGUUUCCGCCCUUCAGUGCCGGAGCUAACGCAUUAAGCACUCCGCCUGGGGAGUACGACCGCAAGGUUGAAACUCAAAGGAAUUGACGGGGGCCCGCACAAGCGGUGGAGCAUGUGGUUUAAUUCGAAGCUACGCGAAGAACCUUACCAGGUCUUGACAUCUUGCGCCAACCCUAGAGAUAGGGCGUUUCCUUCGGGAACGCAAUGACAGGUGGUGCAUGGUCGUCGUCAGCUCGUGUCGUGAGAUGUUGGGUUAAGUCCCGCAACGAGCGCAACCCUUGUUACUAGUUGCCAGCAUUAAGUUGGGCACUCUAGUGAGACUGCCGGUGACAAACCGGAGGAAGGUGGGGACGACGUCAGAUCAUCAUGCCCCUUAUGACCUGGGCUACACACGUGCUACAAUGGACGGUACAACGAGUCGCGAACUCGCGAGGGCAAGCAAAUCUCUUAAAACCGUUCUCAGUUCGGACUGCAGGCUGCAACUCGCCUGCACGAAGUCGGAAUCGCUAGUAAUCGCGGAUCAGCAUGCCGCGGUGAAUACGUUCCCGGGCCUUGUACACACCGCCCGUCACACCAUGAGAGUUUGUAACACCCAAAGUCGGUGGGGUAACCUUUAGGAGCCAGCCGCCUAAGUGACAAUUGC